GAUGAACGCUGGCGGCGUGCCUAAUACAUGCAAGUCGAGCGAACGGACGAGAAGCUUGCUUCUCUGAUGUUAGCGGCGGACGGGUGAGUAACACGUGGAUAACCUACCUAUAAGACUGGGAUAACUUCGGGAAACCGGAGCUAAUACCGGAUGAUAUUUUGAACCGCAUGGUUCAAAAGUGAAAGACGGUCUUGCUGUCACUUAUAGAUGGAUCCGCGCUGCAUUAGCUAGUUGGUAAGGUAACGGCAUACCAAGGCAACGAUGCAUAGCCGACCUGAGAGGGUGAUCGGCCACACUGGAACUGAGACACGGUCCAGACUCCUACGGGAGGCAGCAGUAGGGAAUCUUCCGCAAUGGGCGAAAGCCUGACGGAGCAACGCCGCGUGAGUGAUGAAGGUCUUCGGAUCGUAAAACUCUGUUAUUAGGGAAGAACAUAUGUGUAAGUAACUGUGCACAUCUUGACGGUACCUAAUCAGAAAGCCACGGCUAACUACGUG
rnacentral:rRNA from 1 species